GAGGGUAUAGCUCAGUGAUAGAGCGCAUGCUUAGCAUGCAUGAGGUCCUGGGUUCAAUCCCUGGCACCUCCA
rnacentral:tRNA from 1 species